CUUCCGACCUGUUCUGAAGAUGAGGAAUGGGAGGUGCCGAUCUUUCUCUCUCUUUCCACUCUUUUUAUAGAAGUUUGCCUAUGCCUUAGGCAUUUUCCUCCUCUCCUGAAGAAAAACAUCCAGUAGAAUGUGUUUCUUGGAUAUCAUGGAUGUCUGAGACGUCAGAUCCUAACCAAUAAGUAAUAAGUGGUGACCUGACUGGUAGUGGUAAUAGUAGUAGUAAUAAAAAUAUUAUCAAUAAUCCUCUAUUGUGAGGGCUGAAUAGGUGCCCAUCUGUUUGUGCAUGUAUUAUCUAAUUUAACCCUGACACAUGAUAAGUCUAUGAGGUUGGUACGAUGAAAAAAACUGACACUUGUAUAGAGAGUUUAAUAAAUUGCAAAGGUUGACUCAGGCUGCCACCAGAAUGUCUUGCUGUAGAGUCCACAGUGAGAAGCCAGGAGACAACGCUGCUUCCCAAGCCGACAACUUUCUUAUACCCAGAGCAUCUAAAUACAUGGUGGGAGGAGAUUGUGUUAUGUGUCGGGCUUCUCUUGUCAUCCUCACGAGGCAUAUUAGGCAAUGGUUUGGCUGUGGACAGUAUAUUCAUGGAGUAAGUCAGGAGAUCAUAAACCCCAUCCAGGUAUAUAUGCCAGGUUCCCCAAAUCAUAUUACCAGAGCUCCAGACCAGAGGGCUGGAAGGUGUUCACAGGUUAUAUGGGUGGUACUGGGUUUUGCUUACCUGGUACCUAUUAUACUUUAUUUUGGAAAUUUCACCCUCAUUUCCUCUUGAGAUAUUCCCUCUUCUGUACUUAGAGUCUGGUUUGCAAUUAAGUAAUCUAGUCAAAUGCCCAUCAGAUGCUCCCCAUUUGGAAUUUGUAUUACGAGUUAGUAUGAUGAAAAUACCAAAAAGAGCUGGAGUUCUCAUUCUUCCCAGAGAUGGUACCUGGGGCCUCUGGAAAGUCCUGAAUCCCAUUCCAAACAACCUUUUCAGCCUGUCUUCAUCCCUAUAUGUCCACUCCCUUAAAUUAGCCUUCCAGUACAAUUCUCUUUUGGACUAAAAAUUCUAAGGCUAGGUUGUGACUUCCAUGCAAAAAAUCCCAGCCAUCAUGGGAUUAAAAAAAACUUUAAAAACUGAAGAAACACAGGAUUCAAUACUCAGUAUUUUAGCUAUUCCAACUUUUGUUUUAUUGAAGAAAUGCUGAAAUAGUAUUCUUAUAUGCCAAAGCUCUACUCCAGGUACUUUAUACAAAUGAAUGUGCUGAAUAUCCCCAGGGUUGGAGAACCUUACCACUUACGGAGCUGCUCUCUCACUGCUCGGUGUAAGCUCAUGUGGUCAAACAACCAUUUCUUACAUUGGGCUAAAGUAUGAUUCUUUGUUCUGGUGUCCUCUUAACUCUUGUCCUGCCAUCCACCAGAUGGAAUACAUUGGAUAGGCUCUCCUUUUGUCUCCUUAUUUUAUACAUAACCAGUUGUAGGUUUAGAAAUGGUCGAACCUCUCACAAAGGCUAGAGUAUAACUCCUGCAAUUCUAACUUAAGUGUCACCUAAGUUCAAGAACUCUCCCUCAACCUCUACCUUCGUCCAGCAUGAAGUGAUUGAGAAUAUUGUGUUAAGAAAUUCAUCAAAUCUAAACGCAGAAAAAUGAGAUUCCAUUUUCUUUAAAUUCCAUCACUGUCAAUGUAAAAGUGUCUCAAGACUUUAUAUAUUCAACUCCUUUUGAUAUAAUAUCAUCAGUUACACACAUCCAUGCAUUAUCUUCAUUCAUGCAUUUAUUCAUUUAAUAAAUAUUUAUCAGGUAUAUAUGCCAGGUGCAAGACAGAGUGCUAGGUACUUUGGAGUAUAAAACAAUAAGUCAAACAUAGGUAUCUAACAUCUAGAUUAAAAAAUAAAAACUCAAACAUCCACUUCUAAGUGUUUGCAACCAGUACCCAGACAAUUGACUUCUGCUGUUGUUGUGUAGAUUUGUUGUUCAUUUGUCUUAUGCCUCCAUCUAACCCCUUGAUACUCUGUAAGCACAGCUAGGAAAGGUGCAAUUCUUGGAAGUGUCUUCUCUAAGACAAAGCCCAAGGAAGAUGGAUGACCCACUAGCUAAAGACAAAAAGAAGAAGCUCUUUCUUACUCUUGAGUGAUCUCCUGUGAUUGUUCAUUAGAAAUUAGUGGUUCUUCUCCAGAACGGACUUUAAUCUUUGUUCCUGCUCUAAAAUAAGCUUUAAGAAUACAAGCGAAACACUUCCAUAGAAACCUCCAAGCACAGCAAAAACUACUGAAGCACAGCAAGGUGAGGUGGGGUGGGGAGGAGUAAGAGGUAGUAGGAAGAGGAAUUUUGUCUAUAUUAAUAUUGCAAGAGAUACCCAUGCUUUAUGCCCAUUUACUGCAAGAUACAUGAAGAUGGCAGAUCUUAAAAACCCACCGGUGGCAAGGUUGAUACGAGAAUACUCAUCUUGAAAGGUGCUCAUGGAGACAGCUCAUCUAUUUUUAAAUGUCAGGGGACAGCCUUGAUAAUACCUGGUAGCAGACAAUUUGACAGGUCAACGUACAUGAGGGCACACCCCCACUUUCCUACCCUCCAGCCCAUUCUAAAGAGAGAUCAGUACUCGCCCAAAGCUGAUAUGCUGGGGGACAUUCCCAUCAUUGCCUUCUAAGCCCCGCUUACUUUUCUUUUCUUUACAGAGCUUUCAGCCAGUUACAUUUACGCUUUUUCCUAACAAAGGAUUGCAUCCCCAGCCCUGGCUAUAUUCACCCUUCCUCCAGGCCCACAUAUCAGUUAAACAAUAUGGAUCCCCAAGGUUAGAGGUGUGAUCGGUUUAACACUAGUGACCCCCAAAGGUUAGAGCUGCCGUGGAAUGGAAGAGGCAGUGUACAAACCAUUAAGUCCACUGCAAGAAAAUCCACAAUAUUCAUGAAAUUUAGGUGAAUUUAUUUCUAUGUAGAAGAAUAGUCAUUCUUUUCAAGUUAUCUGAUGACUUCAGCCCAUGCUUGUUUCAAAGAUGAGGACUGGGAAUUAGAGGAGGGUGUUUUAGUGCAGGAGGGAGGUUUACUUGUUUGGUCCCCAGCCUCUCUUUUCCUUAUGGACUUAGGCCAGACCCCAAGGGAAGAAGAGACUGUACCGUAAGACAUUAUAAGUAUAAGCAAGUGUCAGUGUUGCCAUGAGACAUUUCUGUAAGGGCCCCAAGGCAGGACUUCAUUGCACCACAUGCACAUGGACACCAGAAAUACAUUGCAGAGAAACCCUGCCAGCACCUCCUGAAUUUGUGGGUUGGUGAUGUGCGUAGCAGUAGAAACAUCACCUCUGAAUUCAACCAGAGCUGGGUCUGGAUUAAAGCUCCUGCUUUUCACUUUAUGGCUGUGUCACCUAGAGCAUGUUACGCCUUGCUGUACCAUGUUUUCCUCAUCUGAGAAAUGGGAUCAUAGUCACAAGUCACAGGUGGCUGUGAGGAUUACCCCUAUGAGAUGGAACAGAGUUUCUUUUCUUCUUUAUCCUUUUCUCAUCCUCAUAUCUAUAAUGACAAUAAUGUCUUCAAGUCUUUAGCUUUUUAAAAAAAUAAUUAGUUAUUCUGUAACUUUUAGUUUGGAACCCAAUUGCAAACUUAUAUGAAGAAAAGCAGGUGAUUUAUAGUACCCUUAGUUCCCACAUUAUGAAUGGGUAAUAGCCCAAAGGUUCAUUGGUAUGGAAGCCAUUUACCACCUUCCCAGCACUGAACAGAUGCUAACUGCUGGGUGCCUCUCAGUUUAAAACGGCAUUUGGCAUUUUAGCCAUUCCUAGUGCAGGUCUGUCCAUUCUCCUGCUGCCCAUGAAGAUGGUAAACAAGGUAAAAGCUCACCCCUCUUGAAACUAAGACUUGAAUUUGGGAAGGAUUUUCUUAAUAAUAUUAAAUCCAAUGGAAUAUAUUGCAGUAAAAAUUCAAAAAAAUAAAAAUCUACACAUGCUCUAGCAGGUAGUUUUAUUCAUGCUCAAAAUAUGCUUCAAAGAAGAUUGGAAGAAAAUUCUACCAUCUAAGAUUGUUCUGAUGAAGGCAUUUAGGGCUCUAUCAAAUUAAGUCCAGGCAGCUACACCUCGAAUUCAUGGGUACUGAUUUCUUUUCCUAAUAAACAGUUAUCAUUCUCUUCUCUUCCAUCUAUGUCUUCUCUCACCAAAGAAUACAGCAGAAAAUGUCAGGAAUCGGGGAGGAGGAUUUGGAGUGUCUGAUCCUCUAUGUUUAUCAGUGGACAACACUUUAACUGAGCCCCAUCAAGCACAUAAUUGCCCAGAGAAUGGACAGCACGGUACCAGGGCCAGUGAGAGACGCCGCGCUCUCCGUGGAGUCCUGGCUUCUGGCGUCUUCUCAUCCAGUUAGGAAGACUGUUUUCUUCGGACAGAAUGCCGUGUGCAGUCUGGCUCCCCUACACUGUGUCUGGAACAGAAGAUGGCCUUCCCUUGGAUUAAUGCACUGCAGUAGGAGAAAAAAAAUUAAUUAGCGGCACAGCAUAUGUCCUUAAUGGUUUGAUAAAGGACCACAAGGGGCAUCAUGAAGAUGAGUGUUGAAAGGAGUCCUUUUUAUUACUCUUAGCAGGGUAGCAGGUUUAAGAUACUCAUUUCCGUAGAUAAACAAACGAGCCAUCAGAAUGAAACAUCUGCAGGGAAGGGCUCUCCCAACAUAUAGCAGAUGUGUUUCAACAACAAAGCAUAUCCUAGAAGCAUUUUAGGAUUUAAUUAUUUAGCUGUUUCAGUGAGCUGAGGAGCAAGGGGCUGGGGAUGGAUUGAGGAAGCAUAUUGUAAAUUUACUGAGCCUGGAAAUUCAAUUCCAAAUGUAGUUGAAGCCUCCACAUGCUGAUGUUUCUCUCAGAACACAUGCUAACUGCUUUUUGAUACCCAGACCCCAACUGCAUUCAUCCCUUCAUACGUGCGUGGAGGAGGCUAGCCUCCAAAUCCUCCUCUCCUCUCCAUCCUCCACCAAUAUGCUCUUCUCUCUGCUUCUCUCUACUGCAUUUCUGUAACAGCUUUCCAUCUCCCGCUGCCUUCAGUUGUACCUUGUUGGAAACUGUUGUCUGUUUAACAGUCUUUUGAAAAUGCAAAGGGAUCUGUAAAAUGAAAAGGGAGGUAUGGCAUGAGAGAUUAAGGAAAGAUCAGUCCAAAGCAAAAGAAAACUAUCAGAGAUGGGAGGAAAGACUGAAAUAAAACAAUGAAGCAGAAACUGUCUAUACAUUAGCCAAAGGGUUCAGACUGAAGAGAAGAGUUCUGAAUCAUGUGCAACACACAGUCUGCAGCUCUCCCAGGCAGAGAUUUCUCCUGGGGCAUGUCAGUAAGAAGGCUCUGCAACUCUGGGUGCAGUUUCUUGGAAGGCCAGUGAAGCGGAGAACAAAGCAGUCUUGGUACAGUGGCCUGAGAGAAGCCAAAACAACAGAUCCGAAUCCCUUUUCAUGGUCUUUCACUGCCCACAGUAGAGAAGCCCAAGGAUUUUUAGUGUAUGUGUUAGAAUUCCACUUCCCUCUCUCUAGAUUCUUCCUCCAAACAACCGGUGUUAUUUGCACUCUAGCAAAUAUUUGUAUUCCCCAAAUAUCUAUCAUCUUUGCAUGUCUCUCUUCAUAGGAUUCCCCCUAAUUUCUUGACUGGAGAGUAAAUUCCUGCCAAUCUUUCAAAAGUUAAUGUUGACCUGUUUUCCUCUCUGAGGCUUUCUCUGCUCACCACCACACCAAAGCUUUGUCAGUAAGAAUCCCUACAAUCAGCUGUCAGAAGGCCUGGAAUUCCACUCUGUUUAGCAGCUACCCUUUCAUCUUAUAACCAUUUCCUCAAAUAGAAUGUGAACUUUUUGAGGUCAUCUGAGCUCAGUUUCCAUCUAUUGAAUGAAUGAAUGGCCUGGCAAAGUGCAGUGUAACUAAGUUACACAGCCUGAGGUGAGGAUGGGGAGGUGAGGACAUGCAGGGACAUACCUGCCCUGCUAAUUUACCAGAGUAACAACCAUGGCCCAGGAAGUGUUGGCUGAGGACGAAGACAAUGGCAUGAGCAUCCCACCCCUUUUGUUUCUUUUAUGCUUUUCAGUCAGUAUUAAACUAUGAUGCUUUUAAUUGCAGGUGCCAGAAAACUCAUCUAACUUAAGCAAAAAUAUCCAGAGUUAGUGCAGCUUCCGAGAAGGCUUGACCCAGGACGUGUGACAAGUGACUGGGGCCCAGGCUCUCCUACCUUGUGGUUGUGUUUCUGUCAUGUUGGCUUCGUGCUCAAGCUUCCCGGAGAAGCCUGAGGCAGCCCCAGGCACCCAGCAUCAUUGCUGUCAGCAGUUCCAUGAGAGGAAAGCCUGUUGCUCAUUGGCAGUGCCGGCAUAAGGGCUAUAGCUCUGAUGGCACCAUGAACUUGAACCCAUCCCCCAAGCGGCCACCGUUGCCAUGGGAAUGGGAUGUUCAGUCACCAGGCCCAGCUUACAGGCCCAUCUCUGUAGCCCAGUUCCUUCCAAAUGUGUGAACAGGAAGUAGAGGACAAAGGUGAUCCCUUCCCCAAAGGGAAACAAGAUGGUUUAUAUAAUUUAUUGAACAAACCAGGAUACUUUUAAGAGUGAAGGGAGGACUGUUAAUAAGAAGCCAAGACGCAAACAAAAACUGACUGUCCCAGGCAACCACAGUGUAUCUCCACCCUUCCCCUGAGAAAGGCAGGACACUAUUAUCAUAUGCCAAUAUGUGUGUAUAAUAGCUAGACAUACAUAUUACCAUGUGUGUAUGUAUGUAUACCUACAUAUACACAUAUAUACAUAGUUAUAAAGUAUUUCUAAACUUUUAUUUUAUGUAAGAUCACCGAAAGGACCCUGGAUUGCUUUAAUCUUUAGCAUCCUCUCUGGCUCUCUUGUUCUCUGGGAUGAUAUGAUUCCAGGGCAAAGGUGCUACUACACCCAGGUGGACUGGGACAUCCUUGACUCUUGAAGCAGAGAUAAUGUCACAAGCUUAUCAUGUUUUUGGCUCCACAUAGCAGAUCUGAUAUUUUUGAAGCCAUACAACAAAAUCAGUAACAGCAACAAUCAUGCAUCAGGGCUUAUUAUCUGCCAGCAACAGAGCACAGCUCUUUAUAUGUUAUCCUCACCCGAACUGUGCGAGAGGCGUCCUUACUUCCAUUCUGAGAGGGUCACUGGUGAGGGAGCGAUCACUGUCAUUAGCCAUCAGCUAAAGCCUACUGAAUGCCUACAGAGGAGCACACCCUGCUCCAGGAACCGGGGGAAUAGUGACAAGCAAGACAGUCAAGGGGUCACAGAAUUCACGGAAUUUACAUUCUUUGGAAAUAAAGCCAUUAGGGGUUUGCCUAGCUCUGUUCGUUCACCACUGAAGGCAAAUCCAGCUUCCAGGGUGACAGACUUCUGUGGAAGGGGUCGGCUCUUCGUGGCUCCUCCUCUGAGUUCACUGACCAGGUCCUGGUGGCAGACCUGUGGUCAUUGUUGGUCAACAGAACUGGAAGUCAGAAAGGAGACUUGGACGUGGCAUGGGGAAAAGUGAGGGAAAGUGGAACCUCCUGACAUUUCUGUAUCUGUCACCACUGCUAACCGAUGAUGACCUUCAGAGAACAAGACUGUAGCUUCACUCCCCCUUCUCUAAUCUCAUGCAAAAUGUUCUGAUGGCCCCAGCCCCAAUCUGUUCCCAUAAAAAAGGGGAAUUCUGAGAAAUACAGCUCUAGCUUAGAUAAAUUCACAGCACCAAAUCACCACAGAGAGGAUGGGGAGGUUUUGGGGUGGGGAGUUAAGAGAGACAGACAAUAAACAAAUAAAUCAAAAACCAAAAUGUAGAUAAUUACAAAGAUACUGUGUUAUAGAGUCCCUUCAGAUGGGGCUCAAGAAACUUUUCAGAGCGAAUAAAGUGGAGAAACCCAGGCAAUGUGGCUCUGGAGUCAAUUAUUUUAUCUUCUCCACAAUUCUGUGCAACCUUGAGGGUAGAGAGUAUGUCCUAAAAAGGCAAAUUCUCAAACCCCAGAACAGUAGGAUCAGAAUCUCAAGGUCUUGGAACUUCGGGUUUUAACAGGUACCUGGGGUGGGAUUUAGCAGAUCAUUUUAGAGAACACUACCCUAGUGCUUCACAAAAGAGUAGUACAUUCCUGAAAUGGACUAUUCAAAUAUUUCUGAAAAGAAGACCAAAUUAUCCCUGGGUGAGUUUGAACCACCAACCUUUCAGUUAGCAACCAAAUGUGCUAACCAGGUGCACCACAGAGACAACUGUGCAGCCUUGGUGUGCCUUCAGCUUCACCAGAGAGGUCUCCUCUGUGUGCCUUUUGUCUGAAAUAACAUGCAAACAUCCAGCAAUCUGCACAUACACACCGUCAACUUCUCUGAUUUAUCACAAAUACUGUGUGUGUAUCCAGGAAGCAGAAGCAGCAAAGCUUUUUCAGUCCUCUAAGGUACUUAAAAAGCCCUGUGUUUAGACAUCUGGGCAACUCCCUCUUGCACCUGGGAGAGACUUGUGAAUGAAAAUGUGCUUCAUUUAUAUGGAAAAGCGGUCAGGCUUCAGAAGCACGGGCUAAAAGGCACAAGUUCACCCACAGCAAUAAACAUUCGUCACCAUUAAUGGAAAUGUUCACUUCCCCCACUGGUGAGGGGCUUCCCGGGGGGAGGGGGGGGAGAUUGUUUAAUAUUCACAAAGGACUUUGAAGAUAAAAAGACCCACAUAAAGGCUGAAAAUGAACACUCACUUUGUUUGCUUUUCUCAUCCUGGAGUUGAAACUGCAGAGCCACCGUGCCUUUGAAGCAGCUCCAAGAUGAUAAUAAUGAUGACCACCCUUGGAGCCGGGAGAACAGGGUGAGCAAGGAGGAAUACUUUCGCCUCAGCUAUAGUUUUAGUGACUGCAAAAGCAGGGACUUUGGUAUCAGAGUCCUGGCUCACUGCCACCUGCCAACCGUGUGACCUUGGGCAAGUUACUUACCCUCUCUGAGAUUCUAUUUCCUUAGCUAAAAAAUGGGAUAACUAUGAAGGGGAUUCCUCUUUCAGGAGCAAAAUAAUAAAUAGCUCACCUAAAGACUACCUGGUGAAUAUCAAGUUAGAGGCAUUUUAAAGGACUUAGGUGGUGACUGGCACAUUACAAAUCUAAGUAUCACUGUUAUGGCCUAUGCCUGAAGACUACUAAUAAAUAAGGGUUUCAAGCCUGUUGCUGCAGAAGCCAACACUGAUUCUAAUUAAGAAAAAAAAAAAAA